AGCGAACGCUGGCGGCAGGCCUAACACAUGCAAGUCGAACGCCCCUUCGGGGGAGUGGCGGACGGGUGAGUAACGCGUGGGAACGUGCCCUUUGGUACGGAACAACUGAGGGAAACUUCAGCUAAUACCGUAUGAGCCCCCAUUCUUAGCGGGAUGGGUGGGAAAGAUUUAUGGCCGAAGGAGCGGCCCGCGUUGGGUUAGCUAGUUGGUGGGGUAAAGGCCCACCAAGGCUACGAUCCAUAGCUGGUCUGAGAGGAUGAUCAGCCACACUGGGACUGCGACACGGCCAAGACUCCUAGGGGAGGCAGCAGUGGGGAAGCUUGCGCAAUGGGCGAAAGCCUGACGCAGCCAUGCCGCGUGAAUGAUGGAGGUCUUAGGAUUGUAAAAUUCUUUCACCGGGGAAGAUAAUGACGGUACCCGGAGUAGAAGCCCCGGCUAACUUCGCGCCAGCAGCCGCCGCCGUAA
rnacentral:rRNA from 1 species